rnacentral:rRNA from 1 species
GACGAACGCUGGCGGCGUGCUUAACACAUGCAAGUCGAGCGGUAAGGCCCUUUCGGGGGUACACGAGCGGCGAACGGGUGAGUAACACGUGGGUGACCUGCCCUCAGCUCUGGGAUAAGGCCUGGGAAACCGGGUCUAAUACUGGAUAUGACUCCAUGACGCAUGUUGUGGGGUGGAAAGCCUUGUGCGGCUGAGGAUGGGCCCGCGGCCUAUCAGCUUGUUGGUGGGGUGAGGCCUACCAAGGCGACGACGGGUAGCCGGCCUGAGAGGGCGACCGGCCACACUGGGACUGAGACACGGCCCA